GAAAAACAACUGAAGGAUAUCCAAUAAAAAUCAAAUUUCUCCCCCAAAUCGGUUCAAGUUCCUGUAGGUUUGGAGUCCUCAGUGAGAACUUUCUUAAGAGAAUCUGAUCUGGUCUAUUCCUCGUCAUAAGGAAACCUUGCAACAAAUAACAAGCAUGCAUAAAACAUAUGGCAUUUUGCAUCCAUUUGUGCAUUUCAUUCAUUUAUCAAGCAUGCACACGUUUGAAACAUACGUUCCCCUACCUGAGGUCUAAUGGACUGAUGAAGAUGGAAAAUCAAGACAGGGGUUAGCUAGAGGCUCGUUAUCAAAAGGAAGUUGAGAGCAGUAAAGGUGAAGUAGCUCAACUCAUAAAUUUGUUUGAAUAAGUGUUGAGCUUCAAGAAUGGAAAGGGAACGUCUGCACAGUCUCUUGCGUGGAACACUACUUGUCCACGUUCCAUUGAAGUUGCACCUCUCCUUUUUCAUCAUGAACAAUGACAGCAAUGUCUUCAGUCAUCAAUUAAUGACGACAACCCUUGUUCUCGUUCAACUGUACUGAUAGUCAUUCAAAGCCUUCACAUAUUCCAAGAGCACAUAAUAGCUGCUAGCUUUCUGUUCCUG
rnacentral:lncRNA from 1 species